rfam:Catenaria anguillulae PL171 BCR44scaffold_8, whole genome shotgun sequence.
GUCACCUUAGCUCAGUUGGGAGAGCGUUAGACUGAAGAUCUAAAGGCCCCGUGUUCAAUCCACGGAGGUGACA